AACAUACUCCCUCCAUCCAGAAUUACUUGCCGCGGAAAUGGAUGUAUCUAGACAUGUUUUUAGUUCUAGUCUUCUAAAUGGAUGUAUCUAGACGUGUUUUAAGUUCUAGUCUUCUGGAUACAUCCAUUUCUGCGACAAGUAAUUCGGGACGAAGGGAGUAUAUU
rnacentral:pre_miRNA from 1 species